rnacentral:rRNA from 1 species
CGUGUAGGCGGCCUCUUAAGUCUGAUGUGAAAGCCCGGGGCUUACCCCCGGAAGGGCAUUGGAAACUGGGAGGCUAGAGUACCGGAGAGGAAGGUGGAAUUCCUGGUGUAGCGGUGAAAUGCGUAGAUAUCAGGAGGAACACCGGUGGCGAAGGCGGCCUCCUGGACGGAUACUGACGCUGAGACGCGAAAGCGUGGGGAGCAAACAGGAUUAGAUACCCUGGUAGUCCACGCCGUAAACGAUGGGCACUAGGUGUUCGGGGUAUUGACCCCCUGAGUGCCGCAGCUAACGCAUUAAGUGCCCCGCCUGGGGACUACGGCCGCAAGGUUAAA